AUACGGAGGGUGCAAGUGUUAUUCGGAAUCACUGGGCGUAAAGGACGCGUAGGCGGGUUGGCAAGUCAGAUGUGAAAUCCUACAGCUUAACUGUAGAACUGCAUUUGAAACUGCUAACCUAGAGUAUGGGAGGGGGAGAUGGAAUUAGUGGUGUAGGGGUAAAAUCCGUAGAUAUCACUAGGAAUACCGAAAGCGAAGGCGAUCUCCUGGAACAUAACUGACGCUAAGGCGUGAAAGCGUGGGGAGCAACCAGGAUUAGAUACCCUAGUAGUCC
rnacentral:rRNA from 1 species